rnacentral:rRNA from 1 species
GUGAACGCUGGCGGCGUGCCUAAUACAUGCAAGUCGAGCGAACGGACGAGAAGCUUGCUUCUCUGAUGUUAGCGGCGGACGGGUGAGUAACCCGUGGAUAACCUACCUAUAAGACUGGGAUAACUUCGGGAAACCGUAGCUAAUACCGGAUAAUAUUUUGAACCGCAUGGUUCAAAAGUGAAAGACGGUCUUGCUGUCACUUAUAGAUGGAUCCGCGCUGCAUUAGCUAGUUGGUAAGGUAACGGCUUACCAAGGCAACGAUGCAUAGCCGACCUGAGAGGGUGAUCGGCCACACUGGAACUGAGACACGGUCCAGACUCCUACGGGAGGCAGCAGUAGGGAAUCUUCCGCAAUGGGCGAAAGCCUGACGGAGCAACGCCGCGUGAGUGAUGAAGGUCUUCGGAUCGUAAAACUCUGUUAUUAGGGAAGAACAUAUGUGUAAGUAACUGUGCACAUCUUGACGGUACCUAAUCAGAAAGCCACGGCUAACUACGUG